rnacentral:rRNA from 1 species
UACAGAGGGGGCAAGCGUUGUUCGGAUUUACUGGGCGUAAAGGGCGCGUAGGCGGCCUGUGCAAGUCAGUUGUGAAAUCUCCGGGCUUAACUCGGAACGGUCAACUGAUACUGCUCGGCUAGAGUGCGGAAGGGGCAACUGGAAUUCUUGGUGUAGCGGUGAAAUGCGCAGAUAUCAGGAGGAACACCAAUGGCGAAGGCAGCACUCUGGGACGUGACUGACGCUGAGACGCGAAAGCGUGGGGAGCAAACAGG